CUGGGAAACUGCCUGAUGGAUGGGGAUAACUACUGGAAACGGUAGCUAAUACCGCAUAAUGUCGCAAGACCAAAGUGGGGGACCUUCGGGCCUCAUGCCAUCAGAUGUGCCCAGAUGGGAUUAGCUAGUAGGUGGGGUAACGGCUCACCUAGGCGACGAUCCCUAGCUGGUCUGAGAGGAUGACCAGCCACACUGGAACUGAGACACGGUCCAGACUCCUACGGGAGGCAGCAGUGGGGAAUAU
rnacentral:rRNA from 1 species